GUGCCGUCUCUGUUCCGACAUUGGACGCCCGUGUUUCUUUAUUUUAUAGUCAAACCUGAGUCUAGACAACAGAAGAAACCCUCGGUUACAUUAGUAAACAAACAUCUGACCGGAAGUUGUUGGUACGACCCGUAAUACCAUCCGUCCCCGGAACUAACGGAGUAAAAGGCGCCGGUGUUUAGUUUCUUACGAAGAAAGAAAGGUCCCAAACUGCUGGAUGUGGUUUUAAAAGCUGAAACGAAGCUACACAAAGCAGGUCGGGGAGAAGAGGAGCAGAGCCGCGAGGAACUUUAACAUGAAGUCUGAGAGGAAGCUGUCAGCGGACCAGGGGACAGAUGUUCUGGAAGUGAUUGUUGGUGAAGAGGAGCAGCAGGAGUGUAUCUCCAUUGUGGACCAGCAGGAGGCAGAGCCCUCCCCAAACAUUAAAGAGG